rnacentral:rRNA from 1 species
GAUGAACGCUGGCGGCGUGCCUAAUACAUGCCAGUAGAACGCUGAAGGAGGAGCUUGCUCUUCUGGAUGAGUUGCGAACGGGUGAGUAACGCGUAGGUAACCUGCCUGGUAGCGGGGGAUAACUAUUGGAAACGAUAGCUAAUACCGCAUGACAACAGUUAUUGCAUGAUAACUGUUUAAAAGGGGCAACUGCUCCACUACCAGAUGGACCUGCGUUGUAUUAGCUAGUUGGUGAGGUAACGGCUCACCAAGGCGACGAUACAUAGCCGACCUGAGAGGGUGAUCGGCCACACUGGGACUGAGACACGGCCCAGACUCCUACGGGAGGCAGCAGUAGGGAAUCUCCGGAAAUGGACGGAAGUCUGACCGAGCAACGCCGCGUGAGUGAAGAAGGUUUUCGGAUCGUAAAGCUCUGUUGUAAGAGAAGAACGAGUGUGAGAGUGGAAAGUUCACACUGUGACGGUAUCUUACCAGAAAGGGACGGCUAACUACGUG